rnacentral:rRNA from 1 species
AUGGAGGAGCACACUCCUGUUCACUUUCGGUUGUACAAGUCAGAGCAUAAGUACAUGAUGCUCGUGUACUCUGAUCUAAGAAGAUUGAUCCGUCAGCGGUGGAGAGCUUUAACGUUUAUUUGA